CCUACGGGGGGCAGCAGUGAGGAAUAUUGGUCAAUGGGCGCGAGCCUGAACCAGCCACGCAGCGUGAAGGAUGACGGCCCUACGGGUUGUCAACUUCUUUUAUAAAGGAAUAAAGUGAGGCACGUGUGCCUUUUUGUAUGUACUUUACGAAUAAUGAUCGGCUAACUCCGUGCCAGCAGCCGCGGUAAUACGGAGGAUUCGAGCGUUAUCCGGAUUUAUUGGGUUUAAAGGGAGCGUAGAUGGGUUGUUAAGUCAGUUGUGAAAUUUUGCGGCUCAACCGUAAAAUUGCAAUUGAUACUGGCAGUCUUGAGGACAGUUGAGGUAGGCGGAAUGCGUGGUGUAGCGGUGAAAUGCUUAGAUAUCACGAAGAACUCCGAUUGCGAAGGCAGCUUACUAAACUGCCACUGACGUUGAUGCUCGAAAGUGUGGGUAUCAAACAGGAUUAGAUACCCCUGUAGUC
rnacentral:rRNA from 1 species